rnacentral:rRNA from 1 species
UACGGAAGGCAGCAGUGGGGAAUAUUGCACAAUGGGCGCAAGCCUGAUGCAGCCAUGCCGCGUGUAUGAAGAAGGCCUUCGGGUUGUAAAGUACUUUCAGCGGGGAGGAAGGCGGUGAAGUUAAUAGCUUCACCGAUUGACGUUACCCGCAGAAGAAGCACCGGCUAACUCCGUGCCAGCAGCCGCGGUAAUACGGAGGGUGCAAGCGUUAAUCGGAAUUACUGGGCGUAAAGCGCACGCAGGCGGUCUGUCAAGUCGGAUGUGAAAUCCCCGGGCUUAACCUGGGAACUGCAUUCGAAACUGGCAGGCUAGAGUCUUGUAGAGGGGGUAGAAUUCCAGGUGUAGCGGUGAAAUGCGUAGAGAUCUGGAGGAAUCCGGUGGCGAAGGCGGCCCCUGGGACAAAGCUGACGCUCAGGUGCGAAAGCGUGGGGAGCAAACGAGGAUUAGGA